GCCUCUUUAGCUCAGUGGUAGAGCGCUGCACUUGUACAAAACGAGCAUAUGCAGCGGUCAGUCGUUCAAUCCGGCUAGGAGGCA